CCCUUAGACGUUCUGGGCCGCACGCGCGCUACACUGACGAAGGCAACGAGCUUUCCUUUACCGAAAGGUACGGGUAAUCUUUUGAAACUUCGUCGUGCUGGGGAUAGAUCCUUGCAAUUAUUGAUCUUAAACGAGGAAUUCCUAGUAAGCGCAAGUCAUCAACUUGCGUUGAUUACGUCCCUGCCCUUUGUACACACCGCCCGUCGCUACUACCGAUUGAAUGGUUUAGUGAGGCCUUCGGAUCCGCGACUCGUUUCGUGGAGAAGUUGGACAAACUCAGUCAUUUAGAGGAAGUAAAAGUCGUANCA
rnacentral:rRNA from 1 species